rnacentral:rRNA from 1 species
UCCGUGCCAGCAGCCGCGGUAAUACGGAGGGUGCAAGCGUUGUCCGGAUUUAUUGGGUUUAAAGGGUACGUAGGUGGCCUUAUAAGUCAGUGGUGAAAUGCUGCAGCUUAACUGUAGCACUGCCAUUGAUACUGUAGGGCUUGAGUGUCGUUGAGGCAGGCGGAAUUUAUGGUGUAGCGGUGAAAUGCAUAGAUACCAUAAAGAACACCGAUAGCGAAGGCAGCUUGCUAAGCGACAACUGACACUAAUGUACGAAAGCGUGGGUAGCGAACAGGAUUAGAUACCCUGGUAGUCCACACCGUAAACGCUGUCUACUAGCUGUGUGUGCCUUUAAGGCGUGCGUAGCGAAGCUAACGCGCUAAGUAGACCGCCUGGGGAGUACGGCCGCAAGGUUAAAACUCAAAGAAAUUGACGGGGGCCCGCACAAGCGGUGGAGCAUGUG